CAUUUUGGAACAAACGUACCGCGGUGGGCGGGUGCUUCUCUAUUGGUCAGACAUGUUUGAUUGACAAGUGUCUACACCAACGACGUCUUUCUGACAAAGAAGUCUUGUUCGGCACUCCCCAGGCCAGACAGCUUUUUACCAGCAAGAGGGAACAGCGGUGAAGUUGUCGCAUUGGAAGCAAAGUUGUACUACUUUGUAGCAAAAAUGAUUACAGUCUGUGUUGUCCGUGGAGGAGUUGCCCACCAUUUUUUCUCAGAAGGGCUGUUUCAGCAAUUUGCGGGCUUCCAAAGGCCCCUUUCAGACCAGAAGUUCUGCAUGAUCACAAACUCCGGGAGCAGCUAAUCAAGGUUUGCAGAGGGCUUCAAGAUUCUGGGGCUACUGAAAGAGCUGCAGAAAAACCCAGCGGUUGUUUCUGACAUGUCUGUGUGUGAGGAGAAAGCCCUCACUGCCAGGGACAUGAGCCACAGUGGCCUAUUCUGCUCAGGGCAGCA